UAUGUUCUCCAUCUGCCUGCCUUUGUUACCACUCCUUGCUGCUGCACUUGGCUUUGCUGAUUCUCCCAAGAUCUCUCAUCCAAGAUACCACAGAAAUAACUGCAAGUGUUCAGCUGGAACAUGCAAAGGCUUGAUAAUGUGAACCACAGGAAAUGAGGAGAUAAGGUACCUGCAGUGAGGACUCCUUGCAGUCUCCAAGCUGAACAACCCCAGCUCUCUCAGCCUGUCUUUGUAGGAGAGGCAUUCCCACCCUCUGACCAUCUUCCUGGUCCUCCUCUGAACCUGCUCUAACGGACCCACAGUACUUCAGGUGGGGUCUCUUGAGAAUGGAGGGGGGAGAAUCACCUCCCUUGAUUGCUAGCCUCUCCUCUU